UUCUCCUUAUAUGUCCAUCUGAAAAUAACCAUUUUUGGCUAUGUGUAACUUUCAAAGGAAGGCAAUUCAAAAAGGCACGCUUUCUGUCAGACAGCGGCGGACAUCACUCGUUGUUUGCCAUCAAUUAACGUCAGAAGAAGAAGAAGCGGGAAAACAGUAGGUGGCGUAAUAUUUUAACGUUGUCUGCGCCUACCUUAAACUAAAACGAGGAAGAAAAUAAAGAGAAGAAGAAAGAGAAGAAGAAGCGGGAACGUUUUUGGAAACGACGACGGCAACGCCUGCGACAUUAGACUUGGAGAGGAUGGACAAAAAGAAAAUGACAACAAAAAAGAGGUUAGGAGUUCCCACAAAGAAAAUGAAGGACCUGCAUAAUUCUCCUCCCCCAAAUGAGCAAUCUGGGUGUUUGGCAUUCGUCAGAUGGGAGGACGGUUAUACCGGCAAAAUCUUUACAGGAGCAGGCAUUUUGUCAAGAGAUGAUGCUCCUGUGCGGAUCUUAGAUCUUAGAACAGGAGAUUCAGUUUUAGCAAAGUGGUCAGAUGGUAAAUUUUAUAGGGCAACUGUUGAAUAUAUUUCAGGAAAAGAUCAGACUCAGUCACCAAAAGGCUGCCAAAGUCCACAGGAGUCAUUUUUAAAUAUGUUGGAAGCCAAUGAGCCAUCACACUCAACAUCAAGGUCUGACACCAUUACAGUAGAUCGGAACCCACUGUCUGAACAUGAUAAUAUCACAGCGCUGAAUCUAUCAAGUGACGGGGGACUUGUAACAGGCAGCAACACUGUUGGACCACCACCACCCUAAGGGUUUACCAAAGAGGGAACCAUCGGUCCAUCACCCUACAGCGGCAAUACAGCCAUACCAUCACCGUAUGGCCUCCACAUCAAUUGUCAAUGUCCCUAUGGAGGCCAUACAUCUAGCCUACCACCGUAUGGCCUCAACAUCAAAGGUCCAUCUCCCUACGAAGGCCAUGCAUCCUGCCCAUCACUGCAUGACUUCAACACCGCUGGCCCAUCACCAAAUGUCUACAACACCUUUGGUCCUUCACCCGGCGUACACAAUAGCUUGCCAGCUAGCUGGGUGAAUCCACCUGACAAUGAAAACCCAGCUUUCCUGGCACCGGACAGGAGAGAUGCAGGCAACCCAUCUGUCGAGGACACUAUCACAUAUCGACCGCAGGCAGAAAAAUCAUUGAUGCCAUGUGAUGGAUGUAGGGAGGAGUUCGAAAAAAUCCUGCGAGAAAAGCAACGAAUCGAAGAAGUCCUAUUGA